rnacentral:lncRNA from 10 species
GCGGGUGUAAGUUUGGGAAGGUUGCCCUAGUUUGUUCAUCUGCCAGAUGGGGUCAUAGAGCUAUUUACCUCCUUCGGGGGGAGUUAGUGAGUCAGCACGCGGGAGAUGCUCAUGACAGUGCCUGGCACAAAAUAAGGCUCACCUACCUUCAGCUGUGAUUCUUUUCUUUUCUUUUUUUUUUUUUUGAGACGGACUUUCACUCUUUUUGCCCAGGCUGGAGUGCAAUGGCGUGAUCUUGGCUCACUGCGACCUCUGCCUCCUGGGUUCAAGCGAUUCUCCUGCCUUAGUCUCCUGAGAUUACAGGCGCGAGGGAGGUGCUGGUGCUGCAGGUCCCACGACACUCACUCUCAGGGUCAUGGGCACCUAAGACGAGAUGCCAACAUCCAUGCUGUACCCAGGCAUCCCUCCCUUGCACUUAAACCUCUUGACUGGUGCGGGUUCCUGCAGAGGCCUGUGGGACCGAGUUUGAGAACCACAGGGGACCGACAAGCCCAGAGCUGCUGCCCCCUGGGAAUCAGGCCCAGGUCUAGAGCCUCCAGCAGGGUCAGCCAGCCCUGGACGCUCUAGUCUUGGAGGGUCCACAGGCCUGGGGGCCACAGGGCUGCUAGCCAGCCCAACGCAUGAGGGACCAGACCCUUGAGGGUUUCUCCCCAAACAACCAGGGUGUUGACCAAUCUGCGCUGCCUGCAUCCUCUCAAAGGACGACCUUGCAGCAGGAACUCCCAGAAGGAGGGAGGUCUGGGGGGAGGGGCUCGUUCUGUGGCUGCGGCACCCAUGCCUGCCCAGUAGGCACUCCCACAGGUGACCUGGAAGGCGUGACUGGGUGAUGCUCUGGCACUCAGAAGAAGGAAUUUGCAGUGACCAGAAUGCCACGUAGCGCUUUGGGCUCCCAAAACAAGAGCCGCAACAGGCGCUUAUCACAGAGACCUCUUAUCGCCCGGCGUGUUAAGCUCGAAAUGGGAUCAUUACAGCCCAAGACGGCUUCUUUCUUCAUCCGGGCUCCUUCAGCCUCUCUCCUCCCUUCCCCUGGGAAUGUGCUCUUACUGGGCAUGCCUGUAAUUGGAGAAGGAGAAAAUGAAACACCACGUCCUUCUUUCUCUGCAGAGGAGGGAGGCCCAGUUCUGUGGACCCAGGAAUUACUGGACGUUUGGAGAGUCCCACAAAAGUGGGUGCCUUUGGAGUCCGCUGUAGAGAAGAACACCAGCCAGGGGUUCUCAGACGGCUGUGCCCUCCCAGAUCCUAAGGGCCCCACUCUGUUCCCCCAGGCUGGAGUGCAGUGGUGAGACCAUGGCUCACUGUGGCCUCGACCUCCCGGGCUCAAGGGAUCCUCCAACCUUAGCCUCCCAAUGUGUUGGCAUUACAGGCAUGCGCCAUCGCACCAGGCAAAACUGGACUCUUGUUCUGAAGUCAUGUGGGGGAACUGGGCCCCUGAGCGAGGCGAGGCUGUCUCAGGUCUGGGCCUUCUUUUCCGAGCUCCCUGACGUCUGACAUACCCUUGGUGAACAGCAGAAGGCACAUCGGAUCUACAUUCAGAUGCCUGCCUAUGCUGUGGGAUGCAAUCCUCCCUUAUGGAACAGUUCCUGCAGAAUUUCUCGGGGCCGUGCAGAUAAGGGAAGCAGGCAGCCUUAGGAAGCUGGGCAGGUGGAACCUACUGUACAGCCCACGAGCGCCAGCCUGCACUGAGGCCACUAGCAUUCGCAUCUCACCUCCCGGGAGCACCAGCCUGCACCGAGGCCUCUAGCAUUCAUGUCUCACUUCCUGCAAGCACCAGCCUGCACCGAAGCCUCUAGCGUUCACGUCUCACCUCCUGGGAGCACCAGACUGCACCGAGGCCUCUAGCGUUCAUGUCUCACUUCCCGCAAGCACCAGCCUGCACCGAGGCCUCUAGUGUUCACGUCUCACCUCCUGGGAGCACCAGCCUGUACCGAGGCCUCUAGCAUUCAUGUCUCACCUCCCGCAAGUGCCAGCCUGCACCGAGGCCUCUAGCGUUCACGUCUCACCUCCUGGGAGCACCAGCCUGUACCGAGGCCUCUAGCAUUCAUGUCUCACCUCCCGCAAGUGCCAGCCUGCACCGAGGCCUCUAGCGUUCACGUCUCACCUCCUGGGAGCACCAGCCUGUACCGAGGCCUCUAGCAUUCACGUCUCACCUCCCGCAAGUGCCAGCCUGCACCGAAGUCUGGCAUUCACGCUCACCUCCCGCAAGCACCAGCCUGCACCGAGGCCUCUGGCAUCCAUGUCUCACCUCCCGCAAGUACCAGCCUGCACCGAAGCCUAGCAUUCAUGCUCACCUCCCGCGAACACCAGCCAGCACUGAGGCCUCUGGCAUCCAUGUCUCACCUCCCGCAAGUACCAGCCUACACUGAAGCCCCUAGCAUUCAUGCCUCACCUCCCGGCCACACAAGGAAACAGAAAACUUUCUUGUCACUAAUGACCAACAGUGAAAAAGAACAAGCCAACCAUAACAACUUUUAAAGAAUGAAAAUGGUCAGAUGUUUCUUUUAUGCCUUUCUCUUAACAAUAAAACAUAGCCUAGCACAGAUGGGCCUGAGAAGGACUCCCAGACUCCUAGAUGGCUUCGAACCAUGUCCUUUCCUCCUGACGGCUCGUGGCUUGGCGUGAGGUUUCAUGUGUACAGGAAUUGGUGUGAGAGGCCAGUGUCCCAAUGAAUUGUGCAGCUGGGAUGGCAGGAGAGGGCUCCUCUGUGUACUGCG